AAGGUCUGUGGACGCCGACCGCCCGCCCGCCCAUCCGCCCGCCAGGGGCGUUCCCAUAAUACGUCCCGUUUUUCAAACGGGCGUAUAAUAAAAAACGUUGUCAUCAGGCCAUAUCAAAGGAAAAGCUUGUGAAAUUUCUAGAGGCUGCAGUUGUGACCCAAUCUUUAUGAAACUUGGCCAGAAUGUUUACCUUGGUGAUUUCUGGGUCAAAUUUGAGUCUAGGUCAUGUAGGGUCAAAACCUAGGUCAUUAGGCCAGAUCAAAGGAAAACCUUGUGAACACGAAUACUCUGUAGGCCACAGUUGUGACUCAGCCUUUAUGAAACUUGAUCUGAAUGUUUGUCUUAAUGACCUCUAGAUCCAGUUUUAAUCUGGGUCAUUUGAGGUCAAAAAGUAGGUCACAUGGUCAAAUCAAAGAAAAUGUUAGUGAACACUCUAAAAGCAACAGUUUUUUCUUAAUGUAUAUGAAACUUGGUCAGAAUGAUUAUCUUGAUAAUUUUAGGUUAGAUUCGAAAAUGGGUCAUGUGUGGUCAAAAACGAGGUCAGUAGGCCAAA